GAACGUUAGCGGUGUGGAUUAGGCAUGCAAGUCGUGCGCGAAAGCCUUCGGGCGAGUAAAGCGGCGAAAGGGUGAGUAACACGUAAUCAACGUACCCCUGAGAUCGGAAUAACUGCUGGAAACGGUAGAUAAUGCCGAAUGGUCCCCGCGGAGGGCAUCCUCUGCGGAGUAAACGGUGGCUUCGGCUGCUGCUUGGGGAGCGGGUUGCGGACUAUCAGCUUGUUGGUGGGGUAAUGGCCUACCAAGGCUUUGACGGAUAGCGGGUCUGAGAGGAUGAUCCGUCACACUGGGACUGAGACACUGCCCAGACUCCUACGGGAGGCUGCAGUCGAGAAUCUUCCGCAAUGGGCGAAAGCCUGACGGAGCGACACCGCGUGCAGGAUGAAGGCCUUAGGGUUGUAAACUGCUGUCACGCCAUAGGAAUGUCCUGUCGUUAAUAGCUGCAGGAUUGACCAAAGCGAAAGGAAGUACCGGCUAACUCCGUGCCAGCAGCCGCGGUAAUACGGAGGGUACAAACGUUGUUCGGAAUCACUGGGCAUAAAGAGCACGUAGGCGGCUUACUCAGUCGGAUGUGAAAGCCCUCGGCUCAACCGAGGAACUGCAUCCGAUACUGGUAAGCUCGAGGAUAGCAGGGGUGAGUGGAACUCCAGGUGGAACGGUGAAAUGUGUAGAUAUCUGGAGGAACACCGGUGGCGAAAGCGGCUCACUGGGCUAUCUCUGACGCUGAGGUGCGAAAGCUAGGGUAGCAAACGGGAUUAGAU
rnacentral:rRNA from 1 species